CCUACGGGCGGCUGCAGUGGGGAAUAUUGGACAAUGGGGGCAACCCUGAUCCAGCCAUGCCGCGUGUGUGAAGAAGGCCCUCGGGGUGUAAAGCACUUUCAGUGAGGAAGAACGCCUGGUGGUUAAUACCCAUCAGGAAAGACAUCACUCACAGAAGAAGCACCGGCUAACUCCGUGCCAGCAGCCGCGGUAAUACGGAGGGUGCGAGCGUUAAUCGGAAUUACUGGGCGUAAAGCGCGCGUAGGUGGCUUGAUAAGCCGGUUGUGAAAGCCCCGGGCUCAACCUGGGAACGGCAUCCGGAACUGUCAAGCUAGAGUGCAGGAGAGGAAGGUAGAAUUCCCGGUGUAGCGGUGAAAUGCGUAGAGAUCGGGAGGAAUACCAGUGGCGAAGGCGGCCUUCUGGACUGACACUGACACUGAGGUGCGAAAGCGUGGGUAGCAAACAGGAUUAGAUACCCGAGUAGUC
rnacentral:rRNA from 1 species